rnacentral:ncRNA from 2 species
GGAAAUCGGUGAAAAACCGAUGCGGUGCCGCCACUGUAAGACGGAGUCGGAUAUAGCAGGACACUGGACAUUACGUCCGGGAAGUCAUAUCCAGAUGUUGAAGUCAAGCCAGGAUAC